rnacentral:rRNA from 1 species
GCGUUAUCCGGAAUCACUGGGUUUAAAGGGUGCGUAGGCGGUUGCGUAAGUCAGAAGUGAAAGCUCACAGCUUAACUGUGGAAUUGCUUUUGAUACUGCGCGACUAGAAUUAGGUUGAGGUUGGCGGAAUGUGACAUGUAGCGGUGAAAUGCAUAGAUAUGUCAUAGAACACCAAUUGCGAAGGCAGCUGACUGGACCUAUAUUGACGCUGAGGCACGAAAGCGUGGGGAGCGAACAGGAUUAGAUACCCUGGUAGUCCACGCCCUAAACGAUGCUUACUCGAUGUGUGAACUAUUGCGCAUCCAAGGGAAACCGUUAAGUAAGCCACCUGGGGAGUACGUUCGCAAGAAUGAAACUCAAAUGAAUUGACGG